CCUACGGGAGGCAGCAGUGAGGAAUAUUGGUCAAUGGCCGGAAGGCUGAACCAGCCAUGCCGCGUGAAGGUCAGUGCCCUAUGGGCGUUAAACUUCUUUUGUGCGGGAGCAAUAAUGGUCACGUGUGGCCAGACGAGAGUACCGUACGAAUAAGCAUCGGCUAACUCCGUGCCAGCAGCCGCGGUGAUACGGGGGAUGCAAGCGUUAUCCGGAUUUAUUGGGUUUAAAGGGUGCGUAGGCUGGGAGGUAAGUCAGCGGUGAAAUGCCCCCGCUCAACGGGGUGAAGUGCCAUUGAUACUGGCUGGCUGGAGUGCGGAUGCCGUGGGAGGAAUGUGUGGUGUAGCGGUGAAAUGCAUAGAUAUCACGCAGAACACCGAUUGCGAAGGCAUCUCACGAAUCCGCGAUUGACGCUGAUGCACGAAAGCGUGGGUAUCAAACAGGAUUAGAUACCCCUGUAGUC
rnacentral:rRNA from 1 species